rnacentral:rRNA from 1 species
AUUGAACGCUGGCGGCAGGCCUAACACAUGCAAGUCGAGCGGAGCGGCGGACGGGUGAGUAAUGCCUAGGAAUCUGCCUGGUAGUGGGGGAUAACGUCCGGAAACGGGCGCUAAUACCGCAUACUAUCAGAUGAGCCUAGGUCGGAUUAGCUAGUUGGUGGGGUAAAGGCCUACCAAGGCGACGAUCCGUAACUGGUCUGAGAGGAUGAUCAGUCCCACUGGAACUGAGACACGGUCCAGACUCCUGCGGGGUGCGCCCGUGGGGUAUAUUGGACCAUGGGCGAAAGCCUGCUCCAGCCAUGCCGCGUGUGUGAAGAAGGUCUUCGGAUUGUAAAGCACUUUAAGUUGGGAGGCGUUACCAACAGAAUAAGCACCGGCUAACUUCGUGCCAGCAGCCGCGGUAAUUC